UAUUUUGAUACAAACCAAACUGACCCAUUUAAGAGAGCUUCUAACACCUACAUCAAAGGGAGGUGGUGGUGCUGGUGAAGGUUUUGAUGUUACAAAAAGUGGUGAUGCAAGGGUUGGUCUUGUGGGAUUCCCCUCUGUUGGAAAAUCAACACUUUUACAUAAGUUAACUGGCACUUUUUCAGAGGUUACUUCAUAUGAGUUUACUACUCUCACCUGCAUUCCAGGUGUUAAUACAUAUCGAGGAGCUAAGAUUCAGAUGUUGACUUAGGCCUAUAAAUGAACCGAAUGAACACGA